rnacentral:rRNA from 1 species
AUUGAACGCUGGCGGCAUGCCUUACACAUGCAAGUCGAACGGUAACAGGUCUUCGGAUGCUGACGAGUGGCGAACGGGUGAGUAAUACAUCGGAACGUGCCUAGUAGUGGGGGAUAACUACUCGAAAGAGUGGCUAAUACCGCAUGAGAUCUACGGAUGAAAGCAGGGGAUCGCAAGACCUUGUGCUACUAGAGCGGCCGAUGGCAGAUUAGGUAGUUGGUGGGAUAAAAGCUUACCAAGCCGACGAUCUGUAGCUGGUCUGAGAGGACGAUCAGCCACACUGGGCCUGAGACACGGCCCAGACUCCUACGGGAGGCGGCAGUGGGGAAUUUUGGACAAUGGGCGAAAGCCUGAUCCAGCCAUGCCGCGUGCAGGAUGAAGGCCUUCGGGUUGUAAACUGCUUUUGUACGGAACGAAAAGACUCUGGUUAAUACCUGGGGUCCAUGACGGUACCGUAAGAAUAAGCACCGGCUAACUACGUGCCAGCAGCCGCCGUAA